GACGAACGCUGGCGGCGUGCUUAACACAUGCAAGUCGAACGGUGAAGCGCCUUCCUUUUUGGUGGGUGUGGAUGAGUGGCGAACGGGUGAGUAACACGUGAGUAACCUGCCCCCUUCUUCUGGAUAACCGCAUGAAAGUGUGGCUAAUACUGGAUAUUCUGGGUCUGUCGCAUGAUGGGUCUGGGAAAGAUAUUGUUUCGUUGGGGGAUGGGCUCGCGUCCUAUCAGCUUGUUGGUGGGGUGAUGGCCUACCAAGGCGGUGACGGGUAGCCGGCCUGAGAGGGUGGACGGUCACACUGGGACUGAGACACGGCCCAGACUCCUACGGGAGGCAGCAGUGGGGAAUAUUGCACAAUGGGCGCAAGCCUGAUGCAGCGACGCCGCGUGAGGGAUGGAGGCCUUCGGGUUGUGAACCUCUUUCGCCAGUGAAGCAGGCCUGCCUCGUUUGUGGGUGGGUUGACGGUAGCUGGAUAAGAAGCGCCGGCUAACUACGUG
rnacentral:rRNA from 1 species